rnacentral:lncRNA from 9 species
GGAGGAGUGAAUGGCUGGCAUUGAGGGAAAAACACACCCUCUUAAAAGCUCUUGGUUGUUCUUAAGAGUGAGGGAUGGAACUAAGUCAGCUGUCUGGUGCACUGGCCCAGGGCAGUCCUUGGGUUUGGGCAGGAAAUAGGAGGCUGGAGGCAGGGCUCUGAGUUGCCAUUAGAGAGAAUGUCCGCCAGAGGGCACCGAAGCACCACACAAGCUCACAGCUGCUUGGUAUGGGCACUUCCAGGCUCAGCGAUGUGGUUGGAGAUGGGGAUGGAGGAUUCCCCAGAGGGUGUCUGCUCACUGAAAAUACUCUAUAGGUGAGGAUGUGAUGCCAGCCUGAUUCUAGAAAACUGCAUGUCCAAGAUUCAAGCCAGGUAUUUCUGGGUCCAGAGUUGUGUCUCUAAACAAGCAAAUGGAACUCAGAAACCAGAGAGCCU